AGAUACGCAGACACAGAGUGAAUAAAUGGACAAAACUGAACGAGCCAACGGAAGCGAAGACACACAUGCUUCUUUCUUUUCUUUCUUUCUUUCUUUCUUCCUU
rnacentral:ribozyme from 11 species